CCCUUAGAUGUUCUGGGCCGCACGCGCGCUACACUGAUGCAUUCAACGAGUUUCUUCCUGGUCCGAGAGGAAUGGGUAACCUUUUGAAAGUGCAUCGUGAUAGGGAUAGACUAUUCCAAUUAUUGGUCUUCAACGAGGAAUUCCUAGUAGACGUAGUUCAUCAGACUGCAUCGAUUACGUCCCUGCCCUUUGUACACACCGCCCGUCGCUCCUACCGAUUGAAUGCUCAGGUGAGCCAUUCGGACUUUCAUCAUGCUGGUUUCCAGUUUUGAUGAAGGAAAGUCUUGCGAACCUUAUCAUUUAGAGGAAGGAGAAGUCGUAACA
rnacentral:rRNA from 1 species